AUCUCCGACACAGCGACGCCGUCCGGGGGACCCACGCCAGGGCCGGGACAGGGACCGCCGUGCCCGGGUCCCCUCCUCUCCCGCCGCUCCCGGCCCCGCUCCGUCCCCGGAGUCCGAUGGCGGCGGCGGCGCGGAGGGAGCCGGCUCAGGUUCCCAUGACUGCAGAAGUGCUUAUGGAACCCACACAGGGCUGUUUUCAAAUAUAUACGGCAAAGGAAAAGACGGUUACAAAGCCAGAUGAACCCAUCCCAAUCUUCCAUCGUUAUUUGUCGUUUCAGAGCUGUUCUUGUUGCAUCUCUCCCCAUGUACACUACUUGAUUACUUCACUUAUAAUUCCGGACAUCGUAUCACUUAACGCAUAAUAAAUGUAAGGUCUCCUUCGUAACGCAGUAAUCAUCACAAAAAUAUAAAUAUUUUAUCAAUUGUCUUGAAAAUGUGUUUGUUUCUUAACUCAGAUUAGUCUCAAUCAGAAUCCAAAAUAUAUCCUUACAGCUUUCAGUAGCUGUGUCUCGUAAGUCUCUUAACGUGUAGGGUCUACUUACUUUUUCAAUUCUUAUUUAUUUGUUGAAGUUGCUGAGUCAUAUGUUCUAAUAGAAAUUCGCACAUUCUAGGUGCGGCUUAUUGAAUCUAUGAAACUGAUCACCCUUCCCCUAUAAUCCUGUGCACUAGAUGUGGAAGAGAUGGGUGAGGAGAUUUGGGCCCUGUAGACCAGGGGUGUGAUGCUGACUGUUGGCGAAAGAAAAACAAAAUUUUCUCCCAACCUAGAAAUCCUCUCCACGAAGGUAGAAGAGACAGACAACCAAUUUUAUUAUUGAAUAAGCAUGAAGCCAGGGUGAGAUGCACAUCACAGGUAAUCCACUAGGAAAUUGCAGAAAUAGGAAAAAACCUCACUUGCCUGUAUAGACAAGCAGAUAGAACCCAUUACACAUGUGCAUUCAAGACAAACAAUGACCCUAGUCCUCAAGUAAGAGGACUUGACAGCUCCUGUUGUCACACUGAGUUCGUCCUAACUUACAAGGCUUUAUCCAGAGGAAAGGCAAACUUCUCAUCUUUAUAACAGGAGGUAGUUUUGAAAGUUGAAGCAGGUGUCCACCAAGAUGAGGCUCCCACCCUUCCAGGGCAGGGACUGGGGAACUGAUAAGGGAGCUUCUCCCUGGAUGUUUGCAAUUUGAAGAGAUAGCUCCCAGUUUCUUGAGAAAGACAAUUCUGGGUCCUAAAGCUGGAGUGAGAAAAAAAGGCCAGCUGACAGAAGGCCUAUCUAGUCUUCAAAGGCAUACAUUUUAAAGAGAUGAGAAAGUUCUUACUAGUUUUCUAAGGUAAAUGCUUUAAGAAAAGGGAAGGGAAGGAAUUCUUCCCAUUUGCA